CCUACGGGGGGCUGCAGUGGGGAAUAUUGGACAAUGGGGGGAACCCUGAUCCAGCCAUGCCGCGUGUGUGAAGAAGGCCCUCGGGUUGUAAAGCACUUUCAGUGAGGAAGAACGCCUGGUGGUUAAUACCCAUCAGGAAAGACAUCACUCACAGAAGAAGCACCGGCUAACUCCGUGCCAGCAGCCGCGGUAAUACGGAGGGUGCGAGCGUUAAUCGGAAUUACUGGGCGUAAAGCGCGCGUAGGUGGCUUGAUAAGCCGGUUGUGAAAGCCCCGGGCUCAACCUGGGAACGGCAUCCGGAACUGUCAAGCUAGAGUGCAGGAGAGGAAGGUAGAAUUCCCGGUGUAGCGGGGAAAUGCGUAGAGAUCGGGAGGAAUACCAGUGGCGAAGGCGGCCUUCUGGACUGACACUGACACUGAGGUGCGAAAGCGUGGGUAGCAAACAGGAUUAGAUACCCUAGUAGUC
rnacentral:rRNA from 1 species